rnacentral:rRNA from 1 species
GACGAACGCUGGCGGCGUGCCUAAUACAUGCAAGUAGAACGCUGAAGGAGGAGCUUGCUUCUCUGGAUGAGCUGCGAACGGGUGAGUAACGCGUAGGUAACCUGCCUGGUAGCGGGGGAUAACUAUUGGAAACGAUAGCUAAUACCGCAUAACAGUAGAUAUCGCAUGAUAGCUGCUUAAAAGGUGCAACUGCACCACUACCAGAUGGACCUGCGUUGUAUUAGCUAGUUGGUGGGGUAACGGCUCACCAAGGCGACGAUACAUAGCCGACCUGAGAGGGUGAUCGGCCACACUGGGACUGAGACACGGCCCAGACUCCUACGGGAGGCAGCAGUAGGGAAUCUUCGGCAAUGGACGGAAGUCUGACCGAGCAACGCCGCGUGAGUGAAGAAGGUUUUCGGAUCGUAAAGCUCUGUUGUAAGAGAAGAACGAGUGUGAGAGUGGAAAGUUCACACUGUGACGGUAUCUACCAGAAA